rnacentral:rRNA from 1 species
UACGUAGGGGGCUAGCGUUGUCCGGAAUCAUUGGGCGUAAAGCGCGCGCAGGCGGUUUCUUAAGUCUGAUGUGAAAGCCCCCGGCUCAACCGGGGAGGGUCAUUGGAAACUGGGAAACUUGAGUGCAGAAGAGGAAAGUGGAAUUCCAAGUGUAGCGGUGAAAUGCGUAGAGAUUUGGAGGAACACCAAUGGCGAAGGCGACUUUCUGGUCUGUAACUGACGCUGAGGCGCGAAAGCGUGGGGAGCAAACAGG